UAAGAACUCAUUUGCAAGCUCUCUCUUCUCUGUAUCUCCGUUUGAUUCUACCGUUCUUGUUCAUCAGCUUUUGAGCUUCGUCCAUGGCUGACCAAAACAACCAGCACCAUCUUCCUCAUGCUGAUUCCAUGGAUCAUAUCAGAAUAGAUAUUUCUGAUCCUCAAGUUCUCCAGGAGCCUGCAAAAGCAUCAUCUGCGAGCCCAAUCUGUCAACAUUAUGCAUGAUUAUUCAUCAAACGAGCGAUAUUAUUAUUGGAGACAUAGAGACUCGCCUCAGAGAAGCAUGAGGAUCGAUGCUGCUACACUAUAUAUUUCUCAUGUCAGUUUUGAGACUAGCUAAUGUCAAUGCAUUCUUCACUUGAAAUCUUUCUAAUUUGAAGAUCUAAAGUAAAGCCAUUGAUCUUUAUCGUAAAAGAGCUAGGGUUCUUUGAAGUAUAUUUGUUUUAAAGUGAUGAGAGAAAAAGAGAGGCAUGCUACAGUUUGGAUUCCGUCCUCUCUAUUUUCGGUUCCGCAAAACACACGUAUUCUUGAACAGAGCAAAGGACUUUGACUAAAAGGCCUGCAAAAGAAGAAGAGUCAAAAAAGCCCCCACCGACCCAAACAAUUUUGCAUUCAUAUGCACUAACUGCUUCAACUGAAUCCAAGGAUCUGACUUGAACGAUUCGCAGAGUCUUGGUGUACGUGAAGAGAGAGCUCAAGAUCUUAGUCCUGCCAUAAUCAAUUCCAAUCCUUCCCAUGAUUUGCCCCCGACAGGAUCGCUCACAGACAGUUCUAGCAAUGUCACUUCUGCAAACCCCCCUGUUAAUAAUCGUGCUCUGACCAAUCUGGCUGUUUCCUCAAAAGCAAAACAUGACCAGGUUCUGAUUUAUGUUGUGGUGGCUUGUUCUGCACUUGCCUUCUCUAUUUCUUCAACUGCUCUUGUGUUGCACAAGAAAAGGCCCUUGAUUGCCAAGAAGAUGCAAAGAGCUGCGUUUGUGAUUGGGACGUUUGGAUUGAUGGGAAUAAUGGGCAUGCUUCU